GAUGAACGCUAGCGGCAGGCCUAAUACAUGCAAGUCGGACGGGAUUCAAUAGCUUGCUAUUGAUGAGAGUGGCGCACGGGUGCGUAACGCGUGAGCAACCUGCCCAUUUCAGGGGGAUAGCCCGGAGAAAUCCGGAUUAAGACCGCAUAUGAUCACGUUACCGCAUGGUAGAGUGAUGAAAUAUUUAUAGGAAAUGGAUGGGCUCGCGUGACAUUAGCUAGUUGGUAGGGUAACGGCCUACCAAGGCGACGAUGUCUAGGGGCUCUGAGAGGAGAAUCCCCCACACUGGUACUGAGACACGGACCAGACUCCUACGGGAGGCAGCAGUAAGGAAUAUUGGUCAAUGGGGGGAACCCUGAACCAGCCAUGCCGCGUGCAGGAAGACGGCCCUACGGGUUGUAAACUGCUUUUGCACGGGAAUAACCCUCAUUAUGUAUAAUGA
rnacentral:rRNA from 1 species